rnacentral:rRNA from 1 species
UACGUAGGCAGCGAGCGUUGUUCGGAGUUACUGGGCGUAAAGGGUGUGUAGGCGGUUUUCUAAGUUUGGUGUGAAAUCUCCCGGCUCAACCGGGAGGGUGCGCCGAAAACUGGGAGACUAGAGUGCGGGAUGGGAGAGUAGAAUUCCUGGUGUAGCGGUGAAAUGCGUUGAUAUCAGGAGGAAUACCGGUGGUGUAGACGGCUCUCUGGACCGCCACUGACGCUGAGACACGAAAGCGUGGGUAGCAAACAGG